AUUCCUUAUUUUUGGCAGGUAAAAGGAGAGCCCAACACCUCUUACAUCUGUGCUUAUAUUUCGAUCGACGGAGUGCACUACAGCUAUUGACUUCUGGUUUGCUGGUUGUGUUGUUGCUGAACUACUUCUUGGACAGGAAUUCUGAUUGAAGCCUAAUGGAUAAGCCGACUGAUCCUCCAAAGCGCCCGAUCACUCCAUUCAUUUUCUUUUGGUAUUUCGUUAAUAUCUAUUUGUAUGUAGUUAUAUAUUUUCCAUUAUACGAAUUCUUAUAUUCAUUUUCAUAUGUUUAUAGCCAAGAACAAUCAAUGGAGUUAAAAAAAAACCCAAAUGAAAGUAGACGUGAAGGAUAUUGGGGACAAAUGGAAUCAACUUCCUGAAGAAGAAAAAAAUAAGUAUAUACAAAUGGGAAAGCUGCAAUCUGAACAAUAUGCCCAAUUAAAAACUGUGGUCCAACAAAAGCCUCCAAA